rnacentral:rRNA from 1 species
GACGAACGCUGGCGGCGUGCUUAACACAUGCAAGUCGAGCGGUAAGGCUCCUUCGGGAGUACACGAGCGGCGAACGGGUGAGUAACACGUGAGCAAUCUGCCCUUCUCAUCGGAAUAACCAUUGGAAACGAUGGCUAAUGCCGAAUAUGACCUCGGAUCACAUGUUCUGAGGUGGAAAGCUCCGGCGGAGAAGGAUGAGCUCGCGGCCUAUCAGCUUGUUGGUGAGGUAAUGGCUCACCAAGGCAUUGACGGGUAGCCGGCCUGAGAGGGUGACCGGCCACACUGGGACUGAGACACGGCCCAGACUCCUACGGGAGGCAGCAGUGGGGAAUAUUGGACAAUGGGCGAAAGCCUGAUCCAGCAACGCCGCGUGAGGGAUGACGGCCUUCGGGUUGUAAACCUCUUUCAGCAGGGACGAAGCGAAAGUGACGGUACCUGCAGAAGAAGGACCGGCCAACUACGUGCCAGCAGCCGCAGUAACAC